UCUAAUUUUCGCCAUCCAACCUUGGUUGUUCAAGAAGGAUUGAUCUUGUCUUCAAGUGGGAGUUAGAUUUUUGGGGUCUCCAGGUUUUGAGGCCUUGUAUGCCUACUUGG